GUCAGAGUGGUACAAGUAUGCCACAAAAACUAGAAUAGUGUCCAAAACAAGCUUGCGUCUCUGGUCCUAAAUUGAUGCAACUCAUGCAUUAUACUUGUUCUUCAGACUUCAGACUUCUGAAUUUUGUAUUUGUACCAAUCUGAUCGUUUUUCACACGAUAAUAUUCCCUUUUGUGACUAUUCUCAAUUUUCAACCCAAACAUAACUUCACUCAGUUGUCCUUACUGUUAUUUUUCGUUAAGAUAGAUUCUUCUACAGGAGCUCUUUGCUCAAAAACACAGUUGGCGCCUGUCAUUGGGAGGAGUUCUUUUUUUGGGUGGAUGGGUGAAUUGGG
rnacentral:misc_RNA from 1 species